AGCCAAUACACGUUAAUCUAGGGAGUGCUUUCCACCGAUGGAGACAGCUUGGAUAGCAAGGAGAUGCAGUUCGAUUCUGAACUUGCGACAUUUCUUCUUGACUGGAUCAGAAUUCCAGUCCAGUCCUCCUUUAUGAAGGUGUAACGAUUACAUUGCUGUUGCCCAACAGAUUGGUGUGUCAACAGGUUGAAUUUCCUGCUGCAGAUCACCUCUUCAUUUCCUGUGGCUCAUCAACAUGAAGCCUGACUCGUUAGCCCAACUUCUUGCUGUUGAAGACUGCUAAGGACUAUCCAUGUGCCCAGCUGCUUCCCUCCUGCCUCAUAUAGUCCAAAAGUUACAUUUCUAUUCAUGUUGUUGCACUUGGUAUAUGUAAAGUUUAUUCCUGUCUUGUAGUUUUAUGAUAAAUACCAAGAAUCAGGAUUGGUGAAACAUUG